AUGAUGGACUUCCAAAAUGAUUGGAAACUGAUCACAGUUUUCUUUAGUGCUGAAACCCCGUGCUCUUCUUGUGCUUCCACACAACCGGUAAUCUUGUCAUGGGGUCGUUUAGCAGUCAAAGUGUGUGAUUCGAUCACUUUUGCAAGCUCUACCCUUUGUUGUAGUGAACCAAAGCAGUAGCUGGUUCCAGAAGAUUGGAGUGAUUCUAUUCAGUAGCAUGAGCUUCUGGUCCACAAAGUCUUUUGUACUUAGAAACAUGUACUUGAUUUAGAAUUCCAAAUCUGAGAUGCAGUAGUAGAACAGUUCUGAUUCGUUUUUAAGCUGUUUCUCAUCACAUUUAUAGAAGAACUGCAUAUUGGACAACCUGGAAAAACUUCAAGAAGUCUUGGACUUUUUAUAUAAAGAAGUUCCCAAAGCAUUUGUAAAUUUGGUAGAUUCCACUGAGAUGACAACUUCCUUUCUCAUGUGCCAAGACCUUCAAAAUGCCAGCAGUUCAACUGGGGACCAGUGCACUUGUAUUCAUGAAAACUCUACGCUAAAUUAUAACAUUCUGAGGUGGUCCUAUCAGGAUGCUUGGGAAAAACUUCUCAAGUCUAAGAGGUAUGAUCAAAAGGAUGAUUUCACUGUGUUCUUCAGCCUUCUCUCCAAGAAACAAAUCUUUUGCUCAGUCUGGUGAGUAAAUGCAUGUUUCUUUGUUCUUUCUGAAGUGUGACUUGUGAGAUUGAGUGCAGUGUUCAGCUGGUUCCUUCCUAUCUA
rnacentral:lncRNA from 1 species